rnacentral:rRNA from 1 species
AUCGAACGCUGGCGGCAGGCCUAACACAUGCAAGUCGAACGAGUGGCGGACGGGUGAGUAAUGUCUGGGAAACUGCCCGAUGGAGGGGGAUAACUACUGGAAACGGUAGCUAAUACCGCAUACCAGCGGAUGUGCCCAGAUGGGAUUAGCUUGUAGGUGAGGUAACGGCCCACCUAGGCGACGAUCCCUAGCUGGUCUGAGAGGAUGACCAGCCCCACGGGAACUGAGACACGGUCCAGGCUCCUACGGUAGGCAGCAGUGGGUAAUAUUGCACAGUGGGCGCAAGCCUGAUGCAGCCAUGCCGCGUGUAUGAAGAAGGCCUUCGGGUUGUAAAGUACUUUCAGCGGGGAGGCGUUACCAACAGAAUAAGCACCGGCUAACUUCGUGCCAGCAGCCGCGGUAAUAC